ensembl:lncRNA
CAUGUGGCCAAAACCCACAGAGAAGCUCCAUGAAGCACUUAAUUUUUUAGUAUGGCUGUAAAUAAUGCGGUGGAGAAUUAAUACAGAAGUCCAAUGAACAACUUCAAGGCACGCUGCUGCUUCCUUUGCAGCCGUUGGUGCUGAGCUUCAGGAUGUGGAUCUGUGGUUGUCCUCAAGAGGACUGCACCUGCUGAUCUGCAGAGGGUGUGAAGCAGCUGAGAAGCUUCUGGGGGACAGCCUGAGGCACUGAAAACAUCUGCAGAGGCACCUCUGUUAUCAGCGGAGUGGCUGGGAUUCGUGUGGCAGACCAGAAGGUGGCACUGCGGAUACUGCGUUGGAGAGGUCCCAGUGCUCCCGGCCGGAGAGGAACGUGGGGAAGUGCUGCAGCAACGGGACGCUGGGUAAACCAGGCUACGUGGAUGGAUUCUGAGAGCUUAAAGCAAGAAGCAUGAAUGGGCAAAGCAGGAGUUUGGAUGUGAAUAGCGUGAGGAUACAGGGGACGUCCUGAUGUUUAAUCUUCCACUUGAAAGGUUGUCACUGUACUUGUUGCAGAAUCAAACUGCGAAAAAUGUUGAGACGUGCAAUUUUAUUGCAAACUGCCAAAGCAAAAGAGCUUGGCAGGAGUUUUACAGGGUGAGCGUUGAAGAGGGGUUCUUGGCUUUGGCAGGGCAUUACGGAAGAGUUGGUCGUUUUGUAGCUGGAAAUGGGCAAGUCUUUGCUGCUCAGCCCUCCUGUGGCUCACUUGGCCAUGCUGGGCUGGGCCAACCGCUCCUGCCUCAUGCAUUUCCUUCUGUCAGCAAAUACUCAGCUUUUUGUCAAUGAGUGGCCAGUAGCAAGGGACAAACUGACAGACUGCUAAAGCAGCAGGCUGACGUCGGAAGGAAGGAGCAGGUGAGCAAUUUGCUGUAGACAUUCUAUUAAUACCGAUCCCAGCUCUGUGUUGUGUCCCCGGAUUCUUUAUCCUGAGACUCCAUGUAUAUUUUGAAGAGGAUUUUGUGCUCAGCUCAGAGGCAACCCUCCCAAAGACAGUUGGAUUGAAAAUGACUCUGUAGGGCAGCGGGCAAUUCAUCAUCCCGGUGACUUAUCCCUCCCCCAGAGUUUCUCUGAAGUUUCCUGUCAGAGCUCACGUGCCCUGAGGAAAAGUGCUUUUUCUUCCUUCAUACCUUCACUCUUCAGUAGCUACUUGUGCUGCUGUCCUGGGGUCUUGGAGAAAGCAGAGUUGUGCUUGCUUUUGGCUCUGCUUAGUUCCAUGCUGCCAUGUACCUGCAUGGGGAUGCUUAGGGCUCGCAGCCCAAUAGGAGCAGCUGGAUAAAGUAGAGCAGGUUUUCAUUCUGCCAGCCUGCCGUGGAUGGUAGUCUGCCAGCUCAAGCACAGUAAUAAGGUGUCAGGGGAGACCUUAUUGCUCUCUCCAGCUCCCUGAAAGGAGGUGGUAGCGAGGUGAGGGUCAGUCUCUGCUCCCAGGUAACAGUGAUAGGAUGAAAGAUGAUGGCCUCGAGUUGUGCCAGGAGAGGUUCAGGUUGGAUAUGAGGAAACAUUUAUUUUCUGAAAGAGCAGUGCUGCGUUGGCACAGCUGCCCAGGGGUGGUGGGGUUACCGUCCCUGGAGGUGUCCCAGAGCCGUGGAGAUGUGGCACUGAGGGAUGUGGGCAGUGGGCACGGUGGG